UGGAGCAUCCGUGUCUGUGGGUUUGAUCAUGGCUCAGAUUGAACGCUGGCGGGAUGCUUUACAUGCAAGUCAGACGGCGGCACGGACUUCGGUCUGGUGGCGAGUGGCGGCAGGUGAGUAAUGUAUCGGAACGUGCCUGGCGGGGAUAACUACGCGAAAGCGUAGCUAAUACCGCAUACCCUUCAGGAAAGCGAGGCGGGCAGACUGUAAACAGCCGAUAUCGGAUUGGCUAGUUGGUGGGUAACGGCUCACCAAGCGACGAUCCGUAGCUGGUUUGAAGACCGACCAGCCACACUGGGUUGAACGCGGCCCAGACUCCUGGGAGAGCAGCGGUGGGAAUUUUGGACAAUGGAAAGCCUGAUCCAGCCAUCCGCGUGUGCGAUGAAGGCCUUCGGGUUGUAAGCACUUUUGGCAGGAAAAGAAACAGCGCAGGAUAUGCCCGAUCUGGCAGCGAUACCUGCAGAAUAAGCGCCGGCUAACUACGUGCCAGCAGCCGCGGUAAUACCGUAGGGUGCAAGCGUUAAUCAAAAUUACUGGGCGUAAGCGUGCAUGAGCGGUUCAGAAAGAUGUGAAAUCCCCGGGCUUGCCCAGACAUUUUUAACUUUACCGAAGCUAGAGUGUGUCAGAGAGUGGAAUUCUGCGUGUAGCAGUGAAAUGCGUAGAUAUGCGGAAGAACACACCAGUGGUGAGAGCGGCCUCCUGGGAUGCUUGCAAACGCUCAUGCACAGCGUCGUGGGAGCAACAGAUUCUAGAUACACCGGUAGUCCACGCCUAAACGAUGUCAGCGUAUUUGACUGGGCCUUGUGGCGCAACUAACGCGUAGAAGUUGACCGCCUGGGGGGAAAUCUGAUCGCAAGAUGCAAACUCAAAGGAAUUGACGGGGACCCGCACAAGCGGUGGAUAGGUAGAUUCAAUUCGAUGCAACGUGAAAAACCUUACCUACCCUUGACAUGUCUAGAAUCCGAAGACUGGGAGUGCUCGCAAAGAGAACCGGAACACAGGUGCUGCAUGGCUGUCGUCAGCUCGUGUCGUGCAGAUGUUGGGUUAAGUCCGCAACGAGCGCAACCCUUGUCAUUAGUUCACUACGAAAAGACACUCAGCGAGACGCCAAAGAGUGACAAACCGGAGGAAGAGUCGGGACAAGCGUCAAGAAUCCUCCUUGGCCCCACCAUAGGUGGGGCUUCACACGUCAUACAAUGGUCAGGACAGAGGGUCGCCAACCCGCGAGGGGGGAGCCAAUCCCAGAAACCCGAUCGUAGUCCGGAUCAUGAUCUGCAACUCGACUGCGUGAAGUCGGAAUCGCUAGUAAUCGCGGAUCAAUAUCGCCCGGUGAGGCCAGUUUCCCGGGUCUUGUACACACCGCCCGUCACACCAUGGGAGUGGGUUUUACCGAAGUAGUUAACCUAGCCGUAAGGAGGGCGAUUACCACGGUAGGAUUCAUGACUGGGGUGAAGUCGUAACAAGGUAG
rnacentral:rRNA from 1 species